rnacentral:rRNA from 1 species
AGUGAACGCUGGCGGUAGGCCUAACACAUGCAAGUCGAACGGCAGCACAGUAAGAGCUUGCUCUUACGGGUGGCGAGUGGCGGACGGGUGAGGAAUACAUCGGAAUCUACUUUUUCGUGGGGGAUAACGUAGGGAAACUUACGCUAAUACCGCAUACGACCUACGGGUGAAAGCAGGGGAUCUUCGGACCUUGCGCGAUUGAAUGAGCCGAUGUCGGAUUAGCUAGUUGGCGGGGUAAAGGCCCACCAAGGCGACGAUCCGUAGCUGGUCUGAGAGGAUGAUCAGCCACACUUGAACUGAGAAACGGUCCAGACUCCUACGGGAGGCAGCAGUGGGGAAUAUUGGACAAUGGGCGCAAGCCUGGUCCAGCCAUACCGCGUGGGUGAAGAAGGCCUUCGGGUUGUAAAGCCCUUUUGUUGGGAAAGAAAAGCAGCAGGUUAAUACCCCGCUGUUCUGACGGUACCCAAAGAAUAAGCACCGGCUAACUUCGUG